rnacentral:rRNA from 1 species
GAUGAACGCUAGCUACAGGCUUAACACAUGCAAGUCGAGGGGCAGCAGGAUCUAGCAAUAGAUUGCCGGCGACCGGCGCACGGGUGAGUAACACGUAUCCAACCUGCCGAUAACUCGGGGAUAGCCUUUCGAAAGAAAGAUUAAUACCCGAUGGUAUAAUCAGACCGCAUGGUUUGAUUAUUAAAGAAUUUCGGUUAUCGAUGGGGAUGCGUUCCAUUAGGCAGUUGGUGAGGUAACGGCUCACCAAACCUUCGAUGGAUAGGGGUUCUGAGAGGAAGGUCCCCCACAUUGGAACUGAGACACGGUCCAAACUCCUACGGGAGGCAGCAGUGAGGAAUAUUGGUCAAUGGGCGCAGGCCUGAACCAGCCAAGUAGCGUGAAGGAUGACUGCCCUAUGGGUUGUAAACUUCUUUUAUAUGGGAAUAAAGUUUUCCACGUGUGGAAUUUUGUAUGUACCAUAUGAAUAAGGAUCGGCUAACUCCGUGCCAGCAGCCGCGGUAAUACGGAGGAUCCGAGCGUUAUCCGGAUUUAUUGGGUUUAAAGGGAGCGUAGGUGGACAGUUAAGUCAGUUGUGAAAGUUUGCGGCUCAACCGUAAAAUUGCAGUUGAUACUGGCUGUCUUGAAUACAGUAGAGGUGGGCGGAAUUCGUGGUGUAGCGGUGAAAUGCUUAGAUAUCACGAAGAACUCCGAUUGCGAAGGCAGCUCACUGGACUGCAACUGACACUGAUGCUCGAAAGUGUGGGUAUCAAACAGGAUUAGAUACCCUGGUAGUCCACACAGUAAACGAUGAAUACUCGCUGUUUGCGAUAUACAGUAAGCGGCCAAGCGAAAGCAUUAAGUAUUCCACCUGGGGAGUACGCCGGCAACGGUGAAACUCAAAGGAAUUGACGGGGGCCCGCACAAGCGGAGGAACAUGUGGUUUAAUUCGAUGAUACGCGAGGAACCUUACCCGGGCUUAAAUUGCAUUUGAAUAAUCUGGAAACAGGUUAGCCGCAAGGCAAAUGUGAAGGUGCUGCAUGGUUGUCGUCAGCUCGUGCCGUGAGGUGUCGGCUUAAGUGCCAUAACGAGCGCAACCCUUAUCUUUAGUUACUAGCAGGUCAUGCUGAGGACUCUAGAGAGACUGCCGUCGUAAGAUGUGAGGAAGGUGGGGAUGACGUCAAAUCAGCACGGCCCUUACGUCCGGGGCUACGCACGUGUUACAAUGGGGGGUACAGAAGGCAGCUACCUGGUGACAGGAUGCUAAUCCCAAAAGCCUCUCUCAGUUCGGAUCGAAGUCUGCAACCCGACUUCGUGAAGCUGGAUUCGCUAGUAAUCGCGCAUCAGCCAUGGCGCGGUGAAUACGUUCCCGGGCCUUGUACACACCGCCCGUCAAGCCAUGAAAGCCGGGGGUACCUGAAGUACGUAACCGCAAGGAGCGUCCUAGGGUAAAACUGGU